ACCAAUGGAACAGAAUAGAAACACCGGAGAUCAAUCCAAACAUCUAUAACCAACUCAUAUUCGACAAAGGACCUAAAACCAACCCCUGGAACAAGGACAGCCUCUUCAACAAAUGGUGCUGGGAAAACUGGAUGUCCACAUGUCGCAGUAUGAAGCAAGACCCCUACCUUACACCUUAUACAAAAAUCCACUCAACAUGGAUCAAAGAACUAGAGAUGCGCCACGACACCAUGAAACUAAUUGAGAGCAUAGGGGAAACCCUUCAAGAUAUCGGAAUAGGCGAAGAAUUCCUGGAGAAGACCCCACAGGCACGGGUAAUCAAAGAUAAAAUAAACAAAUGGGAUUACCUCAAAUUGAAGAGUUUCUUAACAGCAAAGGAAACAGUCAGGAAAGCGAAGAGGCAACCAACAGAAUGGGAGACGUUAUUCGCAAACCACACAACAGAUAAAGGACUAACAACUAGAAUCUACACAAUGAUCAAAAAACACCACAGAAUCAAAACAAACAACCCAAUAAAAAAAUGGGCCAAGGACCUUAACAGACAUUUUUCAAAAGAGGAAAUCCAAAUGGCCAACAGACACAUGAAAAAAUGCUCAGGAUCUCUAGCCAUCAGGGAAAUGCAGAUCAAAACCACAAUGAGAUACCACCUCACUCUGGUUAGAUUGGCUUACAUACAGAAAUCAACCAACAACAGAUGCUGGUGAGGGUGUGGGGAAAAAGGGACACUAACCCACUGUUGGUGGGAAUGCAAACUGGUAAAGCAACUAUGGAAGACAGUCUGGAGAGCCCUCAGAAACCUGAAUAUAGCACUACCACAGGACCCAGCCAUCCCACUCCUUGGAAUAUACCCAAAUGGAAUUAAAGGGGUGAAAAAAGCCAUUUGCACCUCAAUAUUUGUUGCAGCUCAAUUCACAAUAGCUAAGACAUGGAAUCAACCUAAAUGUCCAUCAACGGAUGACUGGAUAAAGAAACUAUGGGAUAUGUACUCUAUGGAACACUAUGCAGCAGUAAAAAACAAUGAAAUCCGGGCAUUUACAACAAAAUGGAGGAAGCUGGAAAACAUCAUGCUGAGUGAAAUAAGCCAGUCCAAAAGGGAUAAAUAUCACAUGUUCUCCCUGAUCGAUGGCAACUAAACGAGCACCUAAAAUGAUACCCAUUGAAGUAAAAUGGACACUAUGAGAGACAAUGACAUGAGCAGCCCUUGGCUAGACUAUUGACGAACAACUUACUAUUUUGUUCCUUUAGUAUUUUUGUUGUUGUUGUUUUUGUUGCUCGAUUUGCUCUACACAAGACCACUGGUUGAACUCUGCAAUCAAUGCACAACCAUUCUUAAGCGUUUAAAAAUUAACAGAAAAUUGAUCUCUGUGGAACAUGGAAGUGGGAAUAAGAGAGGGAGGAGAUAUAUAGGACGGCACAUACUCACUCAGACCUACCUCCAAUGGUGGAACUGGAAAUGUGCCAGGGGAUUUCAACUCAACCUUACCAAGGAGGCAGGUACCAAUGCCAGCACACUUGGUAAAGUGACAAAUAUAAAUACACAACUGAUCAAAAAGAUAGGGUAAGUGGCAAAGAGAUUAUACAAAUAAGACCAGUGUAAGCAAAUAAUGAAAGAUAGAAUCAAAAGGGAGAGAAUGAUCCUGCGGGGGAAGCAGAACACACAGCAGACUCAGAAUGGCAAAUGCCCAAAACAGCACUCCUGCCUCAGAAUCAACCCUUGGGACAUUCGGAUCUGACUAAAAGGUCCAUGAGAGUCUCGCAGGCAUGGAAAGCCAUGACAUGGUGGCAAAAAACAAUCUAAAUGAAGGAUCCUGUUGAACAACACCCCAGCAGAAGGAUCAGGCCAUCAAGGAGAGAGGCGCCUUUCUCUGAAGGGAGGAAGGAACCUCCACUGUGACAUGGCCUUGACUAAACAAAUUCAGAGUUGCUGAACUCAAGGGGCUUCCAUAGCCUAGACAGCUCAUAGCAAGAGUCUCGGGUGAUUGCUGACAUCAUAAAUAAGAGUGCCAAUUGUUAAAUCAACAAAGGGAGUCACUGGGUUCAUGUUCCCCACACAGGAUCUCUGUCCUUAAUAUGUUUAACUAUGAAACUCAAAAACAACACUACUAGUCGAACAAUACCCUAUACCUGGUUCGGUUGUGUGAGUGCAACCUGUUGAAAUCCCUGCUUAGUAUAUACUAAGUUGAUCUUCAAUAUAUGAAGUAUCGGUGACAACACAGGGAAAGAAGAUUGGCCUUGCAUGGGUCAUGACUGCAACUUGCCUUGAAGGCUAACCCACCUGUCCAUGCCAGAGCCACACCUGUGGAAUCUACUCUUGUAGAAGAAGUCCUGCCAUUCGGGAAAACAUGGAUGAAUCUGAGCCUCAAGGCGGACACCGUGCUAAGUGAAAUAAUCCAGACACAAAAAGAAAAUUGCAGCAUGAUCUCACUGAUAUGUAGAAUAUGGAAGAAGUCCUACUGAGAGUAAGGCAAUCUCUGCUAUAGAAGACUUUAUGGUUGCUCCUUUCUGAAAGAGGUGUAUAUAACCUGCCAAGCAAUGCACCAUGUUCAAAGAGGUCCACCUGUCAACUUGGGAGAGGCAGAAGAAUUACCAGGAGGAACAGGAAGUAGUGCUGCUGCCACAAGUUCCUGUGGUGAUUCUUUGUCUUCAGUUUCUGUUCUUGGUAAUUAACUAAUUAACUAAUGAAUAAAUAUUGAACCCCAUGAUUACAUGUCUAUUGCAUUCUUCCUUGUGCUCAAGGCUCCAUAGGCAACAGAUGUAUGUUAAUGAGCUCUACAUACUGGUGAUUACAGAAGAAUACCAGAGAUGGUGAAGUAAUGGCCAGCUGUGUAUACUACUUUUCUUCCAGGUGGUAGGAGAUGUUCUAAGAGCUUUCCACAAAACCACCAGCAGUUCUCACUGGGGAAACUCCAAGCUUCCAUUAAAAAUAAGGAAAAUAAAGCUCACCAUAAACAUCCAAGUACAUACGUAAAUAAUGAAUAAAUAAGAUAAAUGAUGAUGGUGAUAUUAAGUAUUAGCAGAUACUUGGUGGCAGCUUCUUAAGCAAGUGGGACAUCCCAGAAUGAGAGGACUACUUAGUGAGUGGGAAUUAGAGUGAAAGGUGGAACUGAAUUUCGUGCUUAAUUUUUUCAGAUCACAGUGGAAUAAUUUCAUUCCUGGGGCCUGAAAAUUAAACAGUCUUUAUCUGGCCACACAUACAUACACAAAAUGGUUUUGUAGUAAAAACAGGAAAUCUUAUCUAUACUAGCCAACUUGUUUUUUGACUGAACUAAAAAGGAAUGGCUGACUUUUAGCUUGCGAUUAUGCUUUUUUCCCCCUGUGUUUUAUGACGCUCCCAGAUUUUGCAGUUAAUUAUUUCUAAAUAAUGAAACUGAGAUAAAACAAAGGGUAGAGCCUGUUGUAGUGCCCCUUGCCAAGAACCUGAAUGGACAAGGCAGUUCCUUUGUAAGUCGUAAUUCUCCACCUGGAAUGGGGAAAAUGAUACCUUUAUUAUUAUGUAAGUAAUAUUAAAUUAUUCAUUAGUAUUAUAUCAGUUUUACUGUUGUGAAGAUGAAGACCACUGAUGUGCAUAAAAUGAUACCAUUAGAUGUUAGUUUUGGGCUAAUUGCCAUCAAAUUCCGCUUUCAAAAUGACAGUUCUUGGAUAGUUUCUUAAGUCAUUUUUCAGAAGAGAACUGCUUCCAAAAUAAUUCCAGCAAUUUUCAAAAUUAUUGUUCUGUUGUGAUGCAGUCAGCCUCUCACCUUGUUCAGCUUUAACAUAUUCAAAGCGCUCUAGGGCUAUCCAGAGUUGCAAGCAUUGCUGAUACUAAAAUGUUUUGCUUUUGGUGAUGUUGUUUAUAAUCAACAAAUUUACUAUUAUUCACCCUUAGGAGUUCUUAAAGAAUAAUAUGCUCCACACACCCAGUUAAGACAUGAAAAAGAAGGGAAACAUUUUACAAGGCCUAAGGAACUAAAUAAAACUUAAGCCUUCCUUUAUAUUCUGACUUCCACAAGGGUCUUUUCAGAUUGGCAUCAAGUGCCCCUGAGGGAAAAACAGCUAAAACCUUUACUUCUUGGCAUCUCUUCCUACUUAGACCCUGAGAAUGGAACUUUGAUCUUGGUUAGAAGCUCUACGACAGCACAAACCCAUGCCAAAGCAGUUCUCAGUCAAAGCUCUUUCUCACUGAGUUGAGUAGAAUAUCCUAUGUGAAUACAGUUAGACUCAGAGAGCAAGUGGGACUUUAGAGCUUUGUAGCAACAAGAUCCAACUUGAUGUCAUGAUGGUUAAAAGUUGAAAAAGUUUCAUUUUUGCAAAAUAUUUUACAAACAACUUUCCACUAACAAUUUCAUGGUCAAUUCUUAAACUGCAAAGCUUUUUAACUGAUGUAUCAGAAUGUUUUGUUUCUUUAAAAAUACUUUGUAACAAGAAUAUUCUGCAAGCACUCCAAUGAGAGCAGUAGGUUCUCCCCCUCAGAUGCCAUCCCUGUACGUGACCCUGGUGAGUAUCCAGGGUAGCAUCCACUACAAAAAAGGCUGGAGCAACAUAAAAAGGAAUAAAACAUAGCCCCUGCCUUCCAAAGCCGGCAGUGUGGUGACCUAUGGCCGCUGUUGCAAAUUAUCAUUUGAAAACUUAGUUGUUUUCUCAACUAUUGCUCUUAGAAUAAAUUAUUGUUUUCAGCUUAUUGUGACAUCGAUGGUAUAAAUCACUGUUACAGCUGGCUUUCCAUGUGCUAUUUAACAAAGCUGUUAAAGUAACCAGGUAACAUAACUAGAUGAGAUAUUUUAUGGAUUAGUCACUGAACAUUUAAGUUUUCACAUCCUUUCAUUACUGGAGGACAGGAUUGUGAUUAUAAAAUAAAUUGAAAGUAUGUUAUUGCAAAAAU